UCGACGAACUUCUUUAUCACCGAGUGCUUGCACUCACCGAUAAAGAGUUGAGUGGCGAACGGGUGAGUAACACGUGGGCAACCUGCCCAAAAGAGGGGGAUAACACUUGGAAACAGGUGCUAAUACCGCAUAACCAUAGUUACCGCAUGGUAACUAUGUAAAAGGUGGCUAUGCUACCGCUUUUGGAUGGGCCCGCGACGCAUUAGCUAGUUGGUGGGGUAAAGGCUUACCAAGGCAAUGAUGCGUAGCCGAACUGAGAGGUUGAUCGGCCACAUUGGGACUGAGACACGGCCCAAACUCCUACGGGAGGCAGCAGUAGGGAAUCUUCCACAAUGGGCGAAAGCCUGAUGGAGCAACGCCGCGUGGGUGAAGAAGGUCUUCGGAUCGUAAAACCCUGUUGUUAGAGAAGAAAGUGCGUGAGAGUAACUGUUCACGUUUCGACGGUAUCUAACCAGAAAGCCACGGCUAACUACGUGCCAGCAGCCGCGGUAAUACGUAGGUGGCAAGCGUUAUCCGGAUUUAUUGGGCGUGAAGAGAACGCAGGCGGUCUUUUAAGUCUGAUGUGAAAGCCUUCGGCUUAACCGGAGUAGUGCAUUGGAAACUGGGAGACUUGAGUGCAGAAGAGGAGAGUGGAACUCCAUGUGUAGCGGUGAAAUGCGUAGAUAUAUGGAAGAACACCGGUGGCGAAAGCGGCUCUCUGGUCUGUAACUGACGCUGAGGUUCGAAAGCGUGGGUAGCAAACAGGAUUAGGUACCCUGGUAGUC
rnacentral:rRNA from 1 species